GUACUCGCUCUGGCAGCACAUAUACUGAAAUUGGAACAGUACAGAGAAGAUUAGCAUGGCCCCUAUGAAAGGAUGUCAGGCAACUUCGUGAAGCAGUCCAUUUAAAA